CAGUCGCCACGGGAAAACGGAGGGGGCUAGCGUUGUUCGGAAUUACUGGGCGUAAAGCGCACGUAGGCGGCUUGGUAAGUUAGAGGUGAAAGCCCGGAGCUCAACUCCGGAAUUGCCUUUAAGACUGCCGAGCUAGCAGGUGAGAGAGGUAAGUGGAAUUCCGAGUGUAGAGGUGAAAUUCGUAGAUAUUCGGAAGAACACCAGUGGCGAAGGCGGCUUACUGGCUCAUACUGGACGCUGAGGUGCGAAAGCGUGGGGAGCAAACAGGAUUAGAGACCCGAGUAGUCCCUGUCUCUUAUAC
rnacentral:rRNA from 1 species